GUUUUAGUUAAGAUGAUCCAACUUCAAGAAGGAAGUCUUCUCACCCUUUUCAAGCAGCUUUACUUUAAGCAUUUAAGCCUCUUUGAACUUAACAAUGGAUGACAGUGUUGAAAGGCUGCGAAACGAGUUCAACGAAAAAUGAACAAAAAGGAUGGUUCUUCCAGCACUCUUACCUGGUGUUUAUUUAAAGUCUGCUAUUUUACACGUCCUAAUGCAUCUGUGACUAUAUUUCUGGUUGAAAAAUGACAGGUUUCUGUCAAAACAAUGAACAAUUCCAUGAGCAUUUGCCUUAUUUUGACUUCUUGUCCUGCUCUUUAUGCAUACUUCUCCUUUGCUAUUUAUCUUAUGAUUCUGUUUACUGAAGUUACUUAAUAAAACCAGUGAAGAAGGAGGGAGGGAAGCUACACCCUAAGUGAAGUGGAGGGUAAACUCAUACCUGGCAAGAGGGGAUAACGGCUCACUAGCAACGACAGGGCAGUAGCUGAGAGCUUCAUACUAGUGUGAAAAUGUGUGUAUGGUUAUUGAGAUCUACAGGGGAUUUCAACGAUAGCGUUCAGGCCAAGGCAUUUGGAAGAUGAAAUCACAUAUCUGAGGAUAUGUACAAUAAAGUGAAAGGCAGAAGAGAGCAUGCAGAGCAGGGCAUCGCCUGGCUUGUCCAGCCUCAGAAAACCAGGAAUCUCCAUUCUUGAGAAUGCAAAAUUUGGGUUCAAGACAGAAAAGCUGACGAAUAUUCAUCUAGCUUUCAAUAUUUGCAAUCAAACUACUUUCAGCUUAACAAUUAUGGUGGGGUGUUUUUUCCCUCUGAAAACCCAGGGAGCAGACAGAAACAGUAGCUUGAGGAAAACUUUCCAAUUCACAGUGGUGGGUUUGAUCCUAGCAAUUUGAUUUCUGCAAUCAAUUAAUUCUGGUGAAUUCCUGGAGAAGUCAGUAAUUGAAACAGCAACAAAAGCUAAGAUAAAGUUAACAGACAACUAAUGUUCAGUCUCAAAACUUGCAUAGCGUCUCCAGUAAAUGUGUGAUCUGGACAGUUGCAACAGCUACUGAAAGUUACAGUCAGCUCGGCUGAAAGCAGAAGCUUGUUACAUGUCUAGACACAACCAGCCUGCGCCUCACGGCCGCAUAAUGUGCAAAACAAACGCAUAACCUGAGAUCUGCCAACAAAGAAUUAUUCAGCAAAUAAUUUCAAAGAGAGCAUUU
ensembl:lncRNA